ACUUUGAUAACGGGGUUUCUCCCACAGCAGAGAUUUAAAAGGGACAGGAAAAUCUGGAAUAGCAUCUUCAACUAAAGAUGUCAAAGCACAAGCUCACUUCCCACGGAAGGUAGCAAUUACUAUUAUCUACUUGACAGCUACAACCUAGGCACAGAGGUUAAGUGCUCUGCAAAUACUACCAGCCAGUGGUGGUUUUCCUGCCAGAACCAAGUUCUUGCCUUCCAGUGGACACCAUUGAUCUCUCAAGAUGAUUCUUUAAGUUAAAAAGCACGAAUCACAAAGGGCCUCAAAACCACAUUAAAAUUUAAGAUUGAUCUGCUCUUCUGCUUCUGAAUGUGAGAGCCUAUACUGGAUCUCUGAAGAAAAUAAAGAUGAGAUGAGGUUCUGAUCCCUUGGACUUCAUGAAGUUACGUGACAGAAAGUAUGAUUGUCUAGCCGAUACUUGACUGUGUGAAACCUUCAUCUACUCCGGAAUCCUGAGGCACAGACUCAGGGGCCCUCUGACUCACGAUUAGGGUUGUCAGGGUGAUGCAACAGCAAGACCAUAGCCUUUGGUGUCGGAAUACCAAGUUUUGAAGCUGAGUUUCCCCACUCACUAAUUUUCAAUGAGCACAUACAUAAUUUGAAAUCUGAAAAUGGACAAUAAUGCCUACCUACUUCAAAAUUUGGUUUGAGAAUCAAGUGAAAUAUUAAUAUAUAUGUAAGCAUUUUAUGAACAAGGAAGCAAGUUAUAAAUGCAUUAUCUUGUUAAUUUAGUCAUUUCACUAGGGGUGGGUCCAAUGUGGGCCU
rnacentral:antisense_RNA from 1 species